UUUAAAAAAAAACUAAAAGAGUUCGAAAGAUAGAUAAUGAAUAAUAAUCAGGAGUCCAAACAGUAAGUAAAAUUGGAGUAAAAUUCUCAUUGGAACAAUACAAACUCUUUAAUAAAAUACAGCAAUUAAAAUACCACAACGCGUUUCUCCCCUUAGGGCUUUCUCAAGUGAGUUACAGCCAGGGGUGGUGUGACUUUCGAUGGAUAGACAGAAACAAAAUAUAUUUUACUCCUAAAUGGAGCCGUGCGACUGCAGGGACAUGAUAUGCACAGCCAAAUUACUUAAUUUAGCUAAAGUUGUUUUGAUAGCUAUAGUGUCUUCCAACACAUAACUUAAAGGGAUAGGUUAAAAAGUAUUUUUUUCUGUAUUAUAGGUUUACAGGUUUUUUUUUUUUUUAGUUUACCCAGAAAAAAUAGAAAGAA